GCUUUUGCUACUGAGAAAACGAACAAACUAGGAUCUUAACGUAUAGAGAGCUAGGAUCUUAAGAAGAGAGCUAGGAGGCCACGGACAUCAUCACUAAACCACCUAGGACUUUCUCUCUGUAGAAGACUUCCGAAAAUCCAGGAUUUUAAUUUAUUUCCUUUUACAUACUCAUGAAAGUCCCAGCAAUGUGUACCCUAUCUUCUAUUUCUAUCCUGUCUUCGCCUAUCUCUAUCCCGGACACGUUCCCUCUCAGUUAUAUG
rnacentral:misc_RNA from 1 species